rnacentral:lncRNA from 1 species
GGGAUUCCCCUCCCCCUGCCCCGUCUCCCCUCUUCCCUCCCUCCCUUCUUCCACUCCAUCUGUGACGCCAGUUCAUUUGAAUGGCAAGAUUUUUCUGAGCUGGGAUAAGCGAGAUACAGGAAAUCACUAUUGAAAGACUUCUUUAUUCCUGGGGUCAUCAUCACCUUAGAAUGAGGGACAACCAGAGGGCUCAGUGACGAAAGAGGAGGCCUGGACCAGCAAGGAUGUCCAAGGACACAGAAGGGUGCAAGCAUCGGAUGUUUGUGGCUGGAAGUCCUUCAAAGGUGACAAUAUGCCAAUGAGUUGGUCUGAACCAGGACUAGAUGAAUGAAGCUAUUGAUUGUCCUGAAAAUUUUAUGACCUCUCCGGUGAAUUUCAGGACUUACCAAUUCUGUGGUGUGGCAAGGAGUGAAGUUUGGCCACAGAGGUGGUUCAAACCACAUGAAGAAUGUGCAUCAACCCAAACACCUCUAACCAGACAUGUUCACGUGUCAGGACACUGAGUCCAGACUUGGACUCUGUUAAAUAUUGAGUGCACCAGCUUAACUGGUUUAGGCUAACUCUCCCCUUAAGAUUUCUACUGCAGCUGGAAAGAUUCACAAAGAAACAAUAAAGGUUUUUGGUUAUUGUUUGGCC